AUUGAACGCUGGCGGCAGGCUUAACACAUGCAAGUCGAGCGAGCGGCGGACGGGUGAGUAAUGUCUGGGAAACUGCCUGAUGGAGGGGGAUAACUACUGGAAACGGUAGCUAAUACCGCAUACCAUCAGAUGUGCCCAGACGGGAUUAGCUAGUAGGUGGGGUAAUGGCUCACCUAGGCGACGAUCCCUAGCUGGUCUGAGAGGAUGACAAGCCAAACGGGAACUGAGACAGGGUCCAGACUCCUACGGUAGGCAGCAGUGGGGAAUAGUGAACAAUGGGCGCAAGCCUGAUGCAGCAAUGCGGCGUGUGUGAAGAAGGCCGGCGGGUUGUAAAGUACUUUCAGUCGGGAGGCGUUACCGGCAGAAGAAGCACCGGAUAACUCCGUGCCAGCAGCCGCGGUAAUUC
rnacentral:rRNA from 1 species